rnacentral:sRNA from 1 species
CAAUCGACAAGGCAUUAAUUUUCACCUACUGCCGGUAGAGUAAAGUACUCGUCCAGAGAAAAUAAGAAGAACGGAAGGAGCAGACAACAAUUUAAAGGAUUUCCGACGUACGUCUAAAUAGAACAACAGAACGCAUAUAAACUUGUGUGUUAUAUAUUAACUUUUAUUUAAUAUCCCGGCGUGGUUGCACGUUUUAAUAAGUGUGAUAACAUAUUUCGUUAGAUCAUGUUAA